UGGUCUUGAGGAUAGUAGGAGGUUGAGGGAAGGCGAGACCCUACGAGUUAGAAAUGGAGCAAAGGUUGCUGUUGUGGCUAUGGGGACAUACCCUCUGCGACUACCAUCAAAGAUUAGUCUUGUACUUAGAGAUUAUUAUUUUGUACUUGCUACAAGUAGGAAUCUAAUUUUUUAUCUCUUAUUUGACACAAGAAGACUAUGUAAUUAAUUUUUAUAAGGAUCACUGUAAUA
rnacentral:lncRNA from 1 species